rnacentral:rRNA from 1 species
CGGGGGUUGUAGGGUCCGUGAUGUGGGACGAGGAUCGCGAGAAGAACAGGCAUGGAAAGGCCGGCCCAUAGAAGGUGACAGCCCUGUAGACGUAGCGAGAGACGCCCUAACGGAUACCUGAGUACCGCAGGACACGUGCAAUCCGGCGGGAAUCCGGCGGGACCAUCCGCCAAGCCUAAGUACUACUCAUCGACCGAUAGUGAACGAGUACCGUGAGGGAAAAGGUGAAAAGCACCCCGAGAGGGGAGUGAAAUAGAACCUGAAACCACGUCUGCCUACAAGCACUGGGAGCACGAUGGAGCAAUCCCGUGUGACCGGGUACCUUUUGCAUAAUGGGCCUGCGAGUUGCGUUUCGUGGCGAGGUUAAGCCGAGAGGUGGAGCCGGAGCGAAAGCGAGUCCGAAUAGGGCGGUAGUCGCGGGACGCAGACCCGAAGCCCGACGAUCUAUCCAUGACCAGGUUGAAGCGCGGGUAAUACCGCGUGGAGGACCGAACCCACCUUAGUUGAAAAUAAGGGGGAUGAGUUGUGGAUCGGAGUGAAAGGC